UCUAUAUAAAGCGUUUGACUGCAGUCCAUUCAAUCAUUCGUUCUAAAACAUUCUGAAAGUAUAAGAGAAGUGUCCUCUAUUGCCGCUAUGAAAUUCGUUUUACUGUUCACCGUUGUCGUUAUCCUACUGUUUGAUGGUGCAUACUGCUCGAAUGGUGAAGAGCCAGUGGAAAAUUUAUCUCCAGCACGAGUAAGAGUACGCCGUUAUACAGAUUGGGCGGGUUGCAUGGCUAUUUGUACACCUGGUUGUGCAAUACCAAAUUGCAAUCAAUGGUGUACCCGCGUCUGCUGCAAAGAGUAUACUUCGCCUCAAUGUUAAAUGUAUGUGAUGGAUAAGCGGUUCAAAUAAAAUAAAUUCUGAGUCUUUUAAGCUGA